UGAACGCUGGCGGCGUGCUUAACACAUGCAAGUCGAACGAGAAUCAAUGGAUAGAGGCUUCGGCCAAUUUGAAGUUGAGGAAAGUGGCGGACGGGUGAGUAACGCGUGAGUAAUCUGCCUCAGAGUGGGGAAUAACACAGAGAAAUUUGUGCUAAUACCGCAUAACGCACAGUUAUCGCAUGGUAGCUGUGCCAAAGAUUUAUCGCUCUGAGAUGAGCUCGCGUCUGAUUAGCUAGAUGGCGGGGUAACGGCCCACCAUGGCGACGAUCAGUAGCCGGACUGAGAGGUUGGCCGGCCACAUUGGGACUGAGACACGGCCCAGACUCCUACGGGAGGCAGCAGUGGGGAAUAUUGGGCAAUGGGCGCAAGCCUGACCCAGCAACGCCGCGUGAAGGAAGAAGGCUUUCGGGUUGUAAACUUCUUUUAUGAGGGACGAUAGUGACGGUACCUCAUGAAUAAGCCACGGCUAACUACGUG
rnacentral:rRNA from 1 species